rnacentral:rRNA from 1 species
CCUACGGGAGGCAGCAGUGAGGAAUAUUGGUCAAUGGCCGGAAGGCUGAACCAGCCAAGUCGCGUGAGGGACGACUGCCCUAUGGGUUGUACACCUCUUUUAUAAGGGAAGAAUAAAUGCUACGUGUAGCAUGAUGCCUGUACCUUAUGAAUAAGCAUCGGCUAACUCCGUGUCAGCAGCCGCGGUAAUACGGAGGAUGCGAGCGGUAUCCGGAUUUAUUGGGUUUAAAGGGUGCGUAGGCGGUGUUUUAAGUUAGUGUUUAAACGUCGGGGCUUCACCUUGAUUUGCCAUUAAUACUGUAAGACUCGAGUUCAGACGAGGUAGGCGGAAUAAGUUAAGUAGCGGUGAAAUGCUUAGAUAUAACUUAGAACUCCGAUAGCGAAGGCAGCUUACCAGACUGCGACUGACGCUGAAGCACGAGAGCGUGGGUAGCGAACAGGAUUAGAUACCCGGGUAGUC